AAUAAAAAAACAAACAAACAACAACAACAAAAGUCAGAAGAGAGUAAAGCACCCAGGCAGACGCAAACAGAGCAAAACAAAACAAGAACAGCCACAACAGAGAGAGUGAGAUGUGCGAAAUGAAAUCGGCUGGGAGCAGGGGCAGGGGCUGGAGAGGCUGAGGGAGGCGUGGGGGUGUAGGGAGAGGGAAAGGGGGAAAGUGAGUGCGUGUGUGUGUGUGUGAGUGUGUGUGUGCGGGGGGAGACGGUCCGCUUCGGCACGGCUGGAGAGACCCUGGCGAGGAAACCGGGAUGGAAAGGAAGGAAACGGAGGAGAGAAACUAGAGUUGCUCUGAAUUAGGAAGGAAGGACGAAAAAAUCAAAUGUAAAUGAAUAAACAAGCAGAAUCCAAAGCAGCUAGAUAAAUAAAUCAUCACGGGGAAGGAGAGAGGAAAGGUGGGGUGCAUCGGAGGGGAGGGGGUGGGAGAUAAAGGGGGAAAUAAUCUGAAAGUUACCAGAAACAUUAUUUAGUAGCAAUUCCCCUUGUCCUUGUCAAAGCCAGAGACAAAAAAAAAAAAAGAAAAAAAAAGAAAAAAAAAAGCAGCUAUAUAUGUAUACAUAUAUAUACGUUCGUAUAUAUACACACACACAUAUGUAUUUGUUAGUCUGUCCUGGGCAGCAGCAGCAACGGCGGCAGCAGCAGCAGCAGCAGCAGCAAGCUUUCCCCUGUGAACCCCGUGCUACUGAGCAGCCAGAGAGCAGGGAAAUCGCGCUGCUGGGGGAAAAGCUAGAGAGGAAAAAAGCGUGGAACAAUUGCAGAGAGAGACACACACACACACAGAGACUCACGCACACACACAAAAAGCUAGUGAAUAAUUUUUGCUGCUAUUUUUUAAUAGUGGCCGCCAUCAUCAUCAGCAACAGAGGAGAGCAAAUCGGACAGGCCCCUCUUAAGAGAGGAUUUAUAUAUAGCUGCCUAUAAAACUCCAGAAGAGGAGAGCGCUCUCGUUUUGACACUGGAGUUCUCGGUCCGGAGAGAACAAUAUCCUCCUAUCUCGUUUGAAAUGUUACGGCGACUCUCAUAACACACGCGAUCACUCCAAGCACGAAUCUCCCUUUUUUGAAAGCGCUGCUCGGCCCAUUGUUUGAAGUGGGAAUCAGCGCGCAGCCCGAAGCGAAAAGGGAAAAAAAAAUCUUAGGAGCCCGGCUUGGUAUUGCAUAGGGAAAGAACUGACAAAAUAUUAUAGUGUGUUUCCUAGAAGUGCGUGAUGAGAGCCCGUGGUGUGUUCCCGAAAGAGAAGUGGUUUUUUUUUUUUUUCUUUUCCUUUUUUUUCCCCUAAAAGAUUGUGAUCGCCUUUGUACGUCUUUCUUUUGAUCCCACAAAGAGAAUGCAAUAUACAUAUAUGUGUUUGCUCUCCAUACAAGAAAUGCAAGGGACCGUACAAUGGAAUAUACGGCCGGUUAGCCCUCAUAAUGCUUAGUUUUGCUGUAAUUAAUUGAAAACAGUUAUUAGGUCGUCAUUGGCAAUAGCGUAAAUAAUUGCAGCAGAUUUUUACUUAAAAUUGACCGGUCACAGAGUGAUAGAUCGAUUCGAGGUAUAAAAAUGAUGUAUCAAAACAUCAAUGUCGAUUAUUUGAAAUAUUGUAGUCGAAUCUUUUUAUUGCUUCAUCGGUUAAGUGUCUGAAAGUGCUGUGUUCCAACAUAUAUUUAUGUUGUCAAUACUGUCAAAACUGUCAGUUUUAUUACAGUGGAUUUGUAAUACAUUUCGGAUUUGCUCAUUUACAUAAAAUGUCCACCCCAGUUACCCCUCCUUUUCCCCAUCUCUGCAAAUCUAUGUCAGUUUAAUGAAAGGAUUCAGGACUCCUAGCUGAAGCAAAAAAAGUAGAGAUAUUGCUCCAUUAAGUCCAAUUUAAACAUCCCUUUGGAAAGCUUGGGCUAUUCCUAACUUGCUAUAAGAGGGAAUCCUCCACCCCCUUUAUUUCCCCAGCAGAAUUUAAACACUCUUCUACUAUCACACCUCGAUUAAACCCUUCAGGAGACCCGAGAAACUAUACGGAGAGACACAGCCGAGCCAAAGCACACCUGUGAGUGCCGCAAGCCCGCCGAGCAGGGCAGCAGCCCCCGGACUGCGCACCCCCCGGAGGUUUGGUGCUGGUGGGCAGGAGGAAACAAAAGGAGCCAUAAAUACGUGUGCUCCUUCCUUAACGGGCUGGACCCCAAAGGAUAAGCUCAAGUUGGAAGCAGGAGGGGACGUGAUAUGCCCCCUGUCCCCCAGCCCCCGUUUGGGGUACGCACUGUCCCUGUCCGCCCUGAUCUGGUGUCGGGGCGCUCUUAGGCACCGCUCUCUGAUUUUCUCCGAGAGCCCAGCUGAGGGAUGGAGAAAGUCAGGAAUAAAGAGAUCCAUUUCCACA
rnacentral:lncRNA from 1 species